rnacentral:tRNA from 1 species
AUUAUAGUAAUUUAAUGGCAGAAUAUAAGCUUGUGGUGCUUGGUGUUUAGGUUCAAUUCCUAAUUAUAAUC